rnacentral:rRNA from 1 species
GGUUUCUUGGAGGUGAUAGGAAAUCUGGCCUGCUCUAUGAUUGGUUAAAUGGCCGCAGUAUUUUGACUGUGCUAAGGUAGCAUAAUAAUUAGUCUUUUAAUUGGGGACUGGAAUGAAAGGUUUGACGAGAGAGAGACUGUCUUUGGUUUGGUUUUUGAAGUUAGUUUGGGUGUGAGAAGACACCUGAGAAUUUGAGGGACGAGAAGACCCUGUUGAGUUUUACUGGAUGGGUUUUACUUUUAAUUAGAGGAGUGGUUGGAGUAGAGUUUGUUGAGUUUUGCUGGGGCGGUAUGGAAAGAGGAGAUCUUUUGAUUGAUAUCACUAGGUUGUUAGGGAGAAUAAUGAUCCAGCUUAUUGGAGGGGGUUGAUAUAAAGAUUAAAUUACCGCAGGGAUAACAGCGUAAUAUUAUUGGAGAGUUCUUAUUGAUAAUAAAUUUUGCGACCUCGAUGUUGAAUUAGAGAGUCUCUUAGAUGCAGGAGUUUAGGAAGAGAGUCUGUUCGACUUUUGAUUCUCUACA